rnacentral:rRNA from 1 species
AGUCGAACGGCAGCGCGGGGCAACCUGGCGGCGAGUGGCGAACGGGUGAGUAAUAUAUCGGAACGUACCCAAGAGUGGGGGAUAACGUAGCGAAAGUUACGCUAAUACCGCAUACGAUCUAAGGAUGAAAGCAGGGGAUCUUCGGACCUUGUGCUCCUGGAGCGGCCGAUAUCUGAUUAGCUAGUUGGUGAGGUAAAGGCUCACCAAGGCCACGAUCAGUAGCUGGUCUGAGAGGACGACCAGCCACACUGGAACUGAGACACGGUCCAGACUCUUACGGGAGGCAGCAGUGGGGAAUUUUGGACAAUGGGCGAAAGCCUGAUCCAGCAAUGCCGCGUGAGUGAAGAAGGCCUUCGGGUUGUAAAGCUCUUUUGUCAGGGAAGAAACGGUGGAGGCUAAUAUCCUUCGCUAAUGACGGUACCUGAAGAAUAAGCACCGGCUAACUACGUGCCAGCAGCCGCGGUAAUACGUAGGGUGCAAGCGUUAAUCGGAAUUACUGGGCGUAAAGCGUGCGCAGGCGGUUUUGUAAGUCUGACGUGAAAUCCCCGGGCUCAACCUGGGAAUUGCGUUGGAGACUGCAAGGCUAGAAUCUGGCAGAGGGGGGUAGAAUUCCACGUGUAGCAGUGAAAUGCGUAGAGAUGUGGAGGAACACCGAUGGCGAAGGCAGCCCCCUGGGUCAAGAUUGACGCUCAUGCACGAAAGCGUGGGGAGCAAACAGGAUUAGAUACCCUGGUAGUCCACGCCCUAAACGAUGUCUACUAGUUGUCGGGUUUUAAUUAACUUGGUAACGCAGCUAACGCGUGAAGUAGACCGCCUGGGGAGUACGGUCGCAAGAUUAAAACUCAAAGGAAUUGAC